GACGAACGCUGGCGGCGUGCUUAACACAUGCAAGUCGAACGGUAAGGCCCUUCGGGGUACACGAGUGGCGAACGGGUGAGUAACACGUGGGUGAUCUGCCCUGCACUUCGGGAUAAGCCUGGGAAACUGGGUCUAAUACCGGAUAGGACCACUGCCUGCAUGGGCGGUGGUGGAAAGCUUUUGCGGUGUGGGAUGGGCCCGCGGCCUAUCAGCUUGUUGGUGGGGUGAUGGCCUACCAAGGCGACGACGGGUAGCCGGCCUGAGAGGGUGACCGGCCACACUGGGACUGAGAUACGGCCCAGACUCCUACGGAGGCAGCAGUGGGGAAUAUUGCACAAUGGGCGCAAGCCUGAUGCAGCGACGCCGCGUGAGGGAUGACGGCCUUCGGGUUGUAAACCUCUUUCAGCACCGACGAAGCGCAAGUUACGGUAGGUGCAGAAGAAGGACCGGCCAACUACGUGCCAGCCGCCGCCGUAA
rnacentral:rRNA from 1 species